rnacentral:rRNA from 1 species
GAUGAACGCUGGCGGCGUGCCUAAUACAUGCAAGUCGAGCGAACGGACGAGAAGCUUGCUUCUCUGAUGUUAGCGGCGGACGGGUGAGUAACACGUGGAUAACCUACCUAUAAGACUGGGAUAACUUCGGGAAACCGUAGCUAAUACCGGAUAAUAUUUUGAACCGCAUGGUUCAAAAGUGAAAGACGGUCUUGCUGUCACUUAUAGAUGGAUCCGCGCUGCAUUAGCUAGUUGGUAAGGUAACGGCUUACCAAGGCAACGAUGCAUAGCCGACCUGAGAGGCUGAUCGGCCACACUGGAACUGAGCCACGGUCCAGACUCCUACGGGAGGCAGCAGUAGGGAAUCUUCCGCAAUGGGCGAAAGCAUGACGGAGCAACGCCGCGUGAGUGAUGAAGGUCUUCGGAUCGUAAAACUCUGUUAUUAGGGAAGAACAUAUGUGUAAGUAACUGUGCACAUCUUGACGGUACCUAAUCAGAAAGCCACGGCUAACUACGUG